GGCAGGGAGGGGCGCCGACGUGCAGCAGGGGCACGGGCCCCUCAAGGAAAAUAAAUCUUGGAAGUUCUGGAUUUGCCCCAUUUGUGAUCGCAAGAGGUUUGUCGACUCUAGUCUGCUAUUGUCACACAUGUGCGGCAAGCACCCCAAGGGCAGUCCUGCCACGGCUGCAGUCACUUUUAGAUCAAGCGCUCAGUAGCGAAGCAUCAGAGGAGGAGGGUUUUCUGGAUGGGUUUGCAGAGGCUCUUCCGAGGAUCCAGGAGUUGUGGCACAAUUUUCUCAAAGCUUCUAUGUUGGAUUAUCGAGGAGUCAUUCUGGAACUUGCAAGAUCCUUCCUAUGGGUUUGUAUCUCUGAAUUUUCUUUCUUAAGUCUACUGAUACAGUUGUUUGCUCAUAUUGUAUACGGAUAACCAUCUUUGCAGAGAGAAUUGAAGAAAGGGUUAAUUGGAUUCAUGUCAUUACAAUUAUCUGAGUUCAUUAAUAUGCCAUUACAAUUCGUCAUAUUAAAAUCAUGCCAAUACAAUUUUACAACCCUACAAAGCAUGCCACUACGCCUUCCCCUUCUUCUUGGUGGCGCCCAACUCGGACGACGCGGUGUCGGACGAGGCGGCGACGGCGGCCCCGAGCGGGCGCGGCACCGGAAGCACGUCGGCGGCUGCGGCCCCCGAGCGGGCGCGCCACCGGAAGGGCAGAAGCGGGAGCAGGCUAGCGGCUAGAGCACGAGGAGGAGGCGCACAGUGCAGCAGCUACCCCACAGCUUCCACCGUCGAUGGAAUGGGGCAUGCGCAGCUCCACCAUGGGCCAUCGGGCUUGGCUCCACUCCAUCGAGGUGGAUUGGAAAAAAAUUGGGGGAGUGGGUUGGAGAGGGAGGUACGGAAGGAGUGGAGCUGAGUGCGACCGACAAGGGGAGGGGGGAAGGCAGCGAAUUCGCGAGGAUGACGACGACAAUCAAUGCUCCCUGUGGGUCUGCUCACGGAGAGAGAGGAAAGAGAGAGGGGAUGAGAGGAAGAAGAAAGCUAGGGGUAUUUUGGUCCAUAAAAUAUAAAAAACACAUCCAAAGGGUACGUAGUGGCAUGUUUCGGAGAGUUGUAAUAUUAUAGUGGCACGAUUCUAAUAUGACGAAUUGUAAUGGCAGUUCAGUGAACUCGGAGAAUUAUAAUGGCAUGAAUCCAAUUAACCCUUGAAGAAAUUCAUGACCGAAGAUCCACAACUAGCUGCUAAGCGGAUCAGUGCUACUGAUAUUGAUGCUCAUAUUGUUGGGUUUCAAUGCUUGAUAUGUAGCUCACUACUAGUUGCUUAGAAAACCCACUACUUUUUGUUAGACAUAUCAUUUAGACCUAUGUGUUGGUGUUUGACAUAUUUUCUGGACCUCUAUGUUGUCAUCAAAUAUGGUACUAAGAUGGCAUGUUAUAUGGAUUCGGUUUGAUGUACUUAAUGCAAUAUUUGUCAAAUUAGUUUGUUGUGUGAUAUUUAAUUAUGUUCA